GGAUGAACGCUAGCGGCAGGCUUAACACAUGCAAGGUCGAGGGGUAUAGGUUUUCGGACCUAGAGACCGGCGCACGGGUGCGUAACGCGUAUGCAAUCUACCUUUCACAGAGGGAUAGCCCAGAGAAAUUUGGAUUAAUACCUCAUAGUAUUAUAGAAUGGCAUCAUUUUAUAAUUAAAGUCACAACGGUGAAAGAUGAGCAUGCGUCCCAUUAGCUAGUUGGUAUGGUAACGGCAUACCAAGGCAACGAUGGGUAGGGGUCCUGAGAGGGAGAUCCCCCACACUGGUACUGAGACACGGACCAGACUCCUACGGGAGGCAGCAGUGAGGAAUAUUGGUCAAUGGGCGCAAGCCUGAACCAGCCAUGCCGCGUGCAGGAUGACGGUCCUAUGGAUUGUAAACUGCUUUUGCACAGGAAGAAACAACGCUACGUGUAGCGUCUUGACGGUACUGUGAGAAUAAGGAUCGGCUAACUCCGUG
rnacentral:rRNA from 1 species